rnacentral:rRNA from 1 species
CUCUACGGCCAUACCACCCUGAACGCGCCCGAUCUCGUCUGAUCUCGGAAGCUAAGCAGGGUCGGGCCUGGUUAGUACUUGGAUGGAAGAUUGCACAUCUCUUCCUUGUUCUCAGGGACAGAAGGAU